GAGCGCCCAGGGAAGGCGUGCUGACGUCACGACGCCCGGGUCAGGGCCUGGGCGCGGCUCGGAGCCGGGUCGUCGCUAUAGCAAUCGGGAACCGCUACCUGUCCAUUCCAAGGAUUCGGUCCAGCAGAAGCGUGAGGAGAUGGCGGAGGCCCCGAGGGCUUUGCGUCAUCACUUCUGCGGCCUGCGGGCGAGAAGGUGCGCUUCGGGAGUAGCGCGGGAGGUCAGGAGGCGCAGGUUGUGAGGGACGCAGGCCCUGGGGCUUCGGUCUCUGUCCUCCGAGCUCAGAGCCUCCAGGCUUCUUCCCGGCCGCGCGCUCAGCACUCACUGUCUUACGGUCCCGAAGCGCUUUAAGGUGCGCAGUCCGCAGGCCUUGCCUACUGAUCUUCGAGCCACCCCUUGAAGGAAGCAGUUGCAGACGCUGAGCACAGUGCCAAACCUAUAUAGAAACUCAUUUGGGAUAUGGAGGAGAAUAUGCCACCAGUUCUCCAAAGUGGAGGGGUUUCCGUUCAGCUCUGCAUUCUACCCUUCAACUCCUAUGCAGCCAACCAUCAUACCAGUUGAUUCUAAGUGCUGGGAGCCUCUGUCUACACUUACUCUUCACCUCGCUCGGGCUCCAUAGGCAUGGUGUCUACCUGCUGGCCCAUCCUGGGAAGUCAUCCCAACGUGAAAGAAUGGAAAAGAGAGAGCAUGGAAGACUAGUUCAUAGAGACAGGAUCUUGCUCUGCUUAUCCAGGCGGGAAUGCAAUGGCAUGAACAUAGCUCACUGCAACCUCGAAAUCCUGGGCUCAAGUGAUCCUCCCACCUCAGCCUACUGAGUAACUGGGACUAUAUGCGCGUGGCAUCAUGCUCAGCCAAUUUUUUAAAAUUCUUUUUAGAGGCAGGGUCUUGCUAUGUUGCCCAAGCUGGUCUCGAACUCCUGGAUUUGAGCGACCCUCUCAUGUCAGCCUCCCAAAGUGCUGGUAUUACAGGUGUGAGUCACCAUGCCUAGCCAAGGUUUGCUACUAUUAUUCCUUCUCUCCAACCUUCUCCCUGUAUUCUUUCUGAACUCCCUUUCCCUAUCAAAGCCCCAUUUCGGCCUGGUGUGGGGAAAUGCAGCACCAGGUGAGCAUGUGUUGGUGGGGAGGAUUUGGGGAGACACAUCCCCACUGCUUACUCUACCUGUGCUGGGAACUGCACAAAGAAUGGGGGUGAAGUGGGUGAGAGGCCAGUUGGGAACCCAAAAGCUGUCCUCUACAAUUCUUUUUGAAGGCUAGGGAGAUCCCACUCCUACUUCAGGCCAUGCAUUGGAACCAAAGUUGAGGUGGGGGAGAGUGGUGGCUGCACAGAUACCAUAGACAAGCCAAGACCUCCCUGCCUCGCCCUGUCCUGGCAUGAAGGCACAGGUCUGUAACUACAGCAGCUUUUCCCAGCACCAUCUGACAUUUCUUCUGAAUUUGCUUUAGCGCCUAGCAGAGCACUCCAUAAACUCUCCUAAAGUAGGUAGGAAGGGUAGGAUGGGGUAUGGGAUAUGAGGGUCAGAGGGUCAGACCAGAAAGGGUGGAUUAUUAUAAUCCAAGUAGUCCUAAGAUUCUGAGGAUGGGCAGGUGUACCCUAAAAGGGAAGCAGUGGGAUUCCCAAGUAAAUACUUCAUCUACUUCACAAGUUUGCCCAAGCCCAGCUCAGGAACAGUAACAAAUGGAAAUGAGCAGGGAUGCUGGCUGUGGACAAGCAGACCCCCUAGGUAGAGUCCACCCCACCUUCCCAUUACCACAGGAAUUAUUACCUUACCACCCAUAGGGGAGGGGGUAAUUGUGGGCAAAUUUGAUGGGCCCAGUGGGACAGUCAGAAACAGCCUGUCUAGAGCCCUAAUGUACCCACCCACAUAGCUGUGACAUCCUCAGCCCAGCCAGGCUAGCCCAGGAUAUAUGGUGUGUGUAGCGCACUCUGCUAUUUUGCUCUCCUUGAAUGUCCUUGAGGACCCAGUUCAGGUGCCUCUGCUGGGACACUCCCUGUGACACUACCAGCCUUCUCUGAUCUACUCUUUCUCUUGACUCCUAAGACUUACUGUCAGGCUCUCUGGUCACCUGAUCAAUCCCAGGCUUGUGAUACCUCAUAUGCUACCUUGUACCAUUAUUUAACUUUUAGUUCAUGUGUAUAAUUUUCCUACUGAAGCAGUAGGAGCUUGAUGCCAUGGCUCCUAAAGCUUUGAAACCCAUGCAGCAACUGGAAUAGAGCUCAGCAUUCAUUCAUUCACUCACUCACUCACUCAAUAGUUAUUGAGCACCUCCAACAUGCGAAGCACCGUGCUAGGUGCUGGGGAUUUGGCAGUGAACCAGAGAUGAAUUCUACAUUGAAGCCACUUAGUAAAUAUUUGUUAAACAGAUAGACGAGUGGAUGGAGACAUGGAUGCAUUAGUAGUGAGUGGAUAAUGUCUCUAUCUGUGGCAUCCCUUCUGCUCUAUGUUACCUCAGAGAAAAAUCUCACUUCUUUACUCUCCGUGAUCCCACAACUGUUCUGGAUGGAGGAAGUCCCAGGAAGUUUAGUCUCAAGUGGAGAGUAGGGAGAGAGGAAACUAAACUCAGAGGGGUAGUACCCACUUAAAGGCAUCCAUAUGAUGAGUGCUGGGGCCAGAAGAGACUGGGACCAAUGAGUCGUAGGGUCUCAGGGUCUUCAGACAUCAUAUGGGGCUGCUACAGGGAUCUUUUCAGAGCAUCCCCUUCAACAGAUGUUCCUCAGCCUCCAUGCUAACUAACACUCAAUGAUGGGGCACCUGAGACAGGCAUUCCACUGCUUGCCCCUGGUGAGUUCCCUCAUUCUCACCUCUAACAUCCAAAAUAAAACCAGCCCAGCCUUGGGCCAUGAUAUCCUAACCCACAGCAUGUGCACAUGUACCCACAUCUGUGCAUAUCUGCUCUACCUCCAGAUCAAAAUAGCAACCAGGGAGAUUGGCAGAGCCUGGAGUACCAGGCUGUCUUCCCAGUUUGGGACUGGCUGAGGCACUGUGACUUCAGUGAGAGUCUGGGCCCAUCCUCAGUCUAGAAAAAGCUUAUGCAAGGAUGAGGGUAGCCUAGAGAAAGUCCAGAAAACCACACACACGACCACCUGUUGAUUCCAAGGAGGAGACAGAGCACUUUCUCCUUUUAAAAACAGUAUCCUCUCCUCUCACUCAAGCUUAGCCUGCUCAACUGAACAGCCAGGAAAAGCUGCUGGUGUUUGGUGAUUUGAAGGGAAGGGGGUCUGAACCUCAGAAGCUUGUCACUUACUGGGGACCCUGAUGAGUUUCUCUCUGUUGUCCUGCCUUAUCCCUAAUCUAGCUCCCUGAUCAUUUGAAUGUAACCCUAAUUGGACAAGAAUUUUCUCCCUUUCAGUAUGGACAAAAUCAACAACCAUGAAUCAGAGACUUUUAGAGGAUGGGUAGUGAAGUGGGGGAAAAACAGAACAUUGUAGAGUGAGGGGCAGAGAGGCAGGCAGUGGGCAUGGGUAGGUUCUGGUUUUGUGAUUAGUAAUAUUAUCUCUUUAACUGAAAAAAAUAAACUCAUUUCAGAUUUGUAUAAUUUCA